AUGUCGUGCUCUAUGCUCGCGCUCAAGCUAACACUCGCGGUAAGCUGCCCGCAAUCACACACAUUUCUCCCCGGAGUUCGAUUCUGGUCGAUCUGCUUGGCUCCAGGUUUCAUCAGCAUCGACUGCGGCAGCCCUCCGAGCGCCGGCUACGUCGACGUCGUCACCUGGCUGCCGUACGUCCCCGACGCGCAGUUCGUGGACGCGGGCGUCAGCCACAACAUCUCCGCCGAGCACGCCGGCAUGAUCGACCUGAAGCUGCCGAGGCUCUACAACGACCUCCGGAGCUUCCCCACCGGCGCCCGGAACUGCUACACCGUGCGCUCCCUGACGCCGGGCACCAAGUACCUGGUCCGCGCCACCUUCCUGCACGGGAACUACGACGGGCUGGGCCCCGGCGGCCUCGCCGUGUUCGACCUCCACCUCGGCGUCAACUUCUGGCAGACGGCGAACGUCUCCAGCGUCUCCGACACCUUCCAGGCGGAGAUCAUCGCCGUCGUGCCCGACGACUACGUCCAGGUCUGCCUCGUCGGCAAGAAGGGGCUCGGCACGCCCUUCAUCUCCGGCCUCGAGCUGCGCCCGCUCCCGGACACGCUAUACCCCGUCGUGGCGAAUGCCUCCCUCUCCAUGGCCGUCCACGGCCGGUACAACCUCGGCCCCGACGACGAGAAGCCGAUCGUGAGGUACCCGUCGCCCCACGACCGCGUCUGGAAGGUGCUAGCGAACCUGCGGUCAUGGAACCCGGCCAACACGACGGGCACGGUGCGCUACGUCGCCGGGGACCAGUUCGAGGUGCCGUCGGCGGUGAUGCAGACGGCCGCCACCGUGGACGACGGCUUCAGCCUGCGGUUCUACUGGGGCGCGUACGAGUCCAACAAGGAGCUGGACUACUUCGCCGUGCUUCACAUGGCCGAGCUCCGGCGGCUCAACGGCAGCGAGGCGAGGAUCUGCGAGGUCUACCUCAACAACGGCCUGUGGUACAGCAAGCCCUUCUCCCCGGAGUUCCGUUACUCCAGCUCAAUGUUCGGGAUGGUGGCAGGGAGUACGGAGUACAGCUUCAGGAUCGAACCGACCGCCAACUCGACGCUGCCGCCAUUGCUCAAUGCGCUGGAGAUCUAUGUCAUGGUGCCUACUGCAGAGCGUGCAACUCAUGGAGGAGAUGUGAGUGCCAUUAUGGCCAUCAAGGCCAAGUAUGAGAUCAAGAGGAACUGGAUGGGUGAUCCGUGUGGCCCCAAGAUAUAUUUGUGGGACGGUGUAGGUUGCAACUAUGCAAUCUCUAGCGCACCAAGAAUCACCUCACUAAACUUGUCCUCCAAUGGGUUGGCUGGAGAAAUCACCACUCUUUUAAGCAAUCUCACUGCUCUUCAGAACCUGGAUUUAUCUCACAACAGUUUGACAGGGAACAUUCCUGAAUUUCUUGCACAACUACCGUCGCUUGCUGUCCUAGAUUUGACCGGCAACAAGUUCAAUGGAUCAGUUCCAGAAAGUCUUCUAAAAAGGUCGCAAGAAGGUGCACUUUCAUUAAGAAUUGAAGCGAACAUAAGCAGCAUCAACAAUGACCAGCCACAAAGAAAAAAACCUACCAAGAUUUCUGCCGUAAAUCUCGCUGUGGCUGCCGUUGUACUUUCUGUACUGGUGGUUGUGGUGGUAACUCUUACACUCUGCCUUCGCAGAAGAAGAACUGAAAAUGAUCUUUCUGUCAGACCGCUGAAUGGAAGUAAAUCAAAAGAAGACAAUGGAGACGCUGUCUCAUUGCAAUUCGAUACCCGCCAGUUCAGUUACAAAGAGCUAAAGACUAUCACAAAUAGCUUCGAGAAGUCCAUUGGCAAAGGUGGGUUCGGAGUAGUCUAUCUUGGCUACUUGGAAGAUGGAACCCCGGUUGCAGUCAAAAUGCGCUCAGAAUCGUCAUCUCAAGGGGUUAAUGAGUUCUUGGCAGAGGCUCUGCAUCUGAUAAGAGUUCAUCACAGGAACUUGGUGAAUCUGGUUGGCCACUGCAAGGAUGGGCAGCACUCAGCUCUUGUGUACGAGUACAUGUCUGAAGGAACUUUACAAGAGAAGCUAAGAGAAAAAUCCCCCAACUCUGUACCUUUAACAUGGCGCCAAAGAUUAAGGAUCUCGCUCGACUCUGCCCAAGGCCUUGAGUACCUGCACAAGGCGUGCACGCCGCCGCUGAUCCACAGGGACGUGAAGGCGGCCAACAUACUCCUGAACGGGAGCAACCUGGAGGCCAAGAUCGCCGACUUCGGCCUGUCCAAGGCCUUCAACAACGACCUCCAGUCCCAUGUCUCCACGCGAGUAGUGGGAACACCCGGAUAUCUCGACCCCGAGUACUACACUUCGUUCCAGCUCAGCGAGAAGAGCGACGUGUACAGCUUCGGGAUCGUGCUGCUGGAGGUGGUCACGGGCCAGCCCCCGAUCCUCCCGGAGAGCGUGCACAUCGUGCAGUGGGCGCGGCAGAGGCUCGCCAAGGGCGACAUCGAGAGCGUCGUGGACGACAACAUGGGGCGGUACGACCUCAACUCCGUCUGGAAGGUCGCCGACCUGGCCCCGAGGUGCACGGAGCAGGCGGCCAGCCAGAGGCCCGCCAUGGCCGACGUCGUCGUCCAGCUCAAGGAGAGCUUGGAGCUGGAAGAAGGCUGCGAGAGGGUGCACGGUUCGUACGCCGGAAGUGGCGACGGGUAUGGGGAAAACAGUGACACUGCAAGCCAGAGUACGCAGAGUGGGAGGGUGCUAGAUCUGGUGAGUGGCCCCGCAGCUAGAUAA
rnacentral:rRNA from 1 species